CGGAUGUGGAGCCCGGCUGCUGGGCGGGGUUAGUGACCCAGAACGGUACUGAGCCGGUUCUGGUCCCAGAUCAGUUUUCAUUUGCAUCUCCGAUACCGUCAGUUUGAAAUAAAAACAUCUCAACCAUCGACGGGCUCCAUUAAAAAAACAGCUAAUUUAACGUCGCCUUGUUCGCAUAAUAAUAUAGACGCUGUGGGAUGUGACUGAAGAGAGAUGAGGCCCCUCUUUAAAAAGUUUAAUGUUAUUUCAUGUUGACAUUAUGCCGAAUUCAAGAGAACACCAUUUGAUAUUUGGAGGAAUUCCUGCUCUUGUUGUCUACGUUCGUAUUAGUUGGAAGAUGUCUGAAGAGAUUCCACAUGAGAGGGAGCAACCCCAGACCACCCAGUCUACCCAGUCCACCCUGUCCCAGGCCCAGUCUACCCAGUCUCCGUCCCAGGCCCAGUCUACCCAGUCUCCGUCCCAGGCCCAGUCCACCCAGCCUAAGUCCCAGACUGGUUCCAGUUCUUCCAGCGGGCCGACCUCUUCCAGCGGCUCGGGGACCCUGAGCAGCGUGGACACCAUUCCUGUAACGCUGGCGUCUGUCCCCGAGGAGCCCGAGCCUCAGCCGUGGGGCCGCCUGCUGCCGAUGGCCCAGGGCUUCAGGAGCCUCGACUGUCUGGAGGACCAGUACCUGUUCGGCCGGGGCUCCAGGUGUAACUACGUUCUGGACGAUCCCGACGAAAAAGGAUCCAAGAAGUUCCGAAUCUACAGCAAGAAACACUUCAGGAUCUACAGAGAGGGCAGUGAGGUGUUCGUGGAGGACUCCAGUAACAACGGGACCUUUGUAGACGGGGUCCUGGUGGGUAAAGACAGGAAGCUUCCUCUCACCAACAACGCUGUGCUGGCGCUGGCUGAGCCACGCAACAGAGUCUUUGUGUUCAUUGACCUGAUGUCAGCUGACCAGUCCAGUUUACCCAGAGGGCUUCAGGAGAAAUACGUUCUGACUCGACGCAUCGGCACAGGAGUGUGUGGAGAAGUUAAACUGGCCUUCGAGAGAUCGUCGUGCAGGAAGUUUGCCGUGAAAAUCAUUAAUAAGAAGAACUUUCAGUCUGAAGGGACAGCGACGAGAAACGCGCAAACUGAAAUUGAAAUUCUGCAGAGAGUCGACCACCCAUGUCUGAUUAAAACAGAGGAUUUCUAUCAGACGGAGGACAGUUACUACAUUGUGUUGGAGCUGAUGGAGGGAGGAGAGUUGUUUCACCGAGUUAAAUCUCAGCAGCAGCUCGACGAGUCUGUCGCCAAACUAUAUUUUUAUCAGAUGCUGAGAGCAGUCAAGUACCUCCACAGUGAAGGGAUCAUCCACAGAGAUCUGAAACCGGAGAACAUCCUGCUGUCCUCGCAGGACAACGAGUGUCUCAUCAAGGUGACAGACUUCAACCAGUCCCGGAUCCUGGACGAGUCCCUGCUGAUGAGGAGUCUGUGUGGGACGCCGUCCUACCUCGCUCCUGAAGUCUUCACGUCGACGUCGGGAUACGGGCUGGCCGUGGACGCGUGGAGCCUCGGAGUCCUGCUCUUCGUCUGUCUGGGUGGUUAUCCUCCGUUCCACGAAAACUUCAGCCGCCAGUCGAUCACGGAGCAGAUCAUCCGCGGAGAGUUCACCAUGGUGCCGUCCAAGUGGAGACACAUCUCUGACCCAGGUAAACACUACGGGACACCUGAACACAUCUCUGACCCAGGUAAACACUACGGGACACCUGAACACAUCUCUGACCCAGGUAAACACUACGGGACACCUGAACACAUCUCUGACCCAGGUAAACACUACGGGACACCUGAACACAUCUCUGACCCAGGUAAACACUACGGGACACCUGAACACAUCUCUGACCCAGGUAAACACUACGGGACACCUGAACACAUCUCUGACCCAGGUAAACACUACGGGACACCUGAACACAUCUCUGACCCAGGUAAACACUACGGGACACCUGAACACAUCUCUGACCCAGGUAAACACUACGGGACACCUGAACACAUCUCUGACCCAGGUAAACACUACGGGACACCUGAACACAUCUCUGACCCAGGUAAACACUAGGGGACACCUGAACACAUCUCCGACCCAGGUAAACACUACGGGACACCUGAACACAUCUCCGACCCAGGUAAACACUACGGGACACCUGAACACAUCUCUGACCCAGGUAAACACUACGGGACACCUGAACACAUCUCUGACCCAGGUAAACACUACGGGACACCUGAACACAUCUCUGACCCAGGUAAACACUACGGGACACCUGAACACAUCUCUGACCCAGGUAAACACUACGGGACACCUGAACACAUCUCCGACCCAGGUAAACGCUACGGGACACCUGAACACAUCUCUGACCCAGGUAAACACUACGGGACACCUGAACACAUCUCCGACCCAGGUAAACACUACGGGACACCUGAACACAUAUCCGACCCAGGUAAACACUACGGGACACCUGAACACACCUCUGACCCAGGUACUGGAC